AACGAACGCUGGCGGCAUGCCUAACACAUGCAAGUCGAACGAAGGCUUCGGCCUUAGUGGCGCACGGGUGCGUAACGCGUGGGAAUCUGCCCCUUGGUUCGGAAUAACAGUUAGAAAUGACUGCUAAUACCGGAUGACGACGUAAGUCCAAAGAUUUAUCGCCGAGGGAUGAGCCCGCGUAGGAUUAGCUAGUUGGUGUGGUAAAGGCGCACCAAGGCGACGAUCCUUAGCUGGUCUGAGAGGAUGAUCAGCCACACUGGGACUGAGACACGGCCCAGACUCCUACGGGAGGCAGCAGUGGGGAAUAUUGGACAAUGGGCGAAAGCCUGAUCCAGCAAUGCCGCGUGAGUGAUGAAGGCCUUAGGGUUGUAAAGCUCUUUUACCCGGGAUGAUAAUGACAGUACCGGGAGAAUAAGCUCCGGCUAACUCCGUGCCAGCCGCCGCCGUAACAC
rnacentral:rRNA from 1 species